UACGUAGGGUGCAAGCGUUGUCCGGAAUUAUUGGGCGUAAAGAGCUCGUAGGCGGCUUGUCGCGUCGGCUGUGAAAACCUGGGGCUCAACCCCGGGCCUGCAGCCGAUACGGGCAAGCUAGAGUUCGGUAGGGGAGACUGGAAUUCCUGGUGUAGCGGUGAAAUGCGCAGAUAUCAGGAGGAACACCAAUUGCGAAGGCAGCUCGCUGGAACGUAACUGACGCUGAGACGCGAAAGCGUGGGGAGCAAACAGG
rnacentral:rRNA from 1 species